rnacentral:lncRNA from 1 species
CUCCCUUUUUUUGAUAAUACAAGCUUUCUUGUGCGCACCUUAACUAUUGCAUCGAGUACCUACUACCUCCAAUCAACACAUAUAAAAUAUCUUUUUCGCAAUGCUAAUAAGUGCUCUUCAAAUUGGAAAAAACUCACUGUUCAAGAGCAUGGCUUUUGAGAGGAAAGGACAGGAACCAAGUUAAGGCUGGUGGGGAAGCACACAUCUCGACUUCAAAGACUAUGAUUCAGUUCCUAACUGAUCAAACCUGCAGUUGCUUCAGAAACUAGCUCAUACUAUUUACUCUCUAAGCAGAUAACGCAAUAGAACAAUAAUAAUCUCUUUCAAAUUCCAGAACCAUAGAGCUCCAUGGCAUUUUCAGCUCAAAAUUAACAGCUGCAUAGACUGAAAAAUUAGGAAACUAAAUUUGGUAUACAAGUAUAGAAUAAGACCGCCAAGGACUGGCACAAUGGAUAGAAUUCCAUCACCCCUUAGAUAGGUUGGAGCACUGAAAAUAGAUAAAUUACUAUGAAGCGCCUACCUAAGGUUAACGAAAAAGAAGUAUAGCAUAAGGGCUUUACAUGUGCACAAAGUGCAUCUCAAGUAAUGCGGGGGAGGGAGUAAGAGUGAGCAUAUUCCUUUGUCUUUUUGUUUUCACAAAGAGCUGUUUCCACGCCUUAAGCCACAAUUAAGCUCCCACAGUUCUAAACAAUACAAUACAUAAAACAUUUGGGUCUUCGCAACUAGUAACAAUAAUAAGAUCCAUCGGAAAGGGGCAUGUGGAAAAAAUUAUAGCCUAUAGAAGAUAAAGCAUAAAGCACUUCAUUAUAAUUUCAGUUUAAAAAAAAAUCGAUAAAAAAUAAAGCAAACGAAGUCAAGAAGCACAAAUCGAAGAUCUCCCAGGAGCAUGUUCUUUCAAGAAGAUAUGCAUUUGGUCCAGAACAUCUCACGAUAUCAAAACUACAAUCCUUUAGACAGCAAUCGCUAGGAGUUCAUAUUAAGACAUAGUCCGUCAAUAAAUUCAUUAGCGACUCUUUCGGACAUCUAAGUCAUAUACUUUACAAAUCCAAAGUUAAAUAACAAAUGAAA